rnacentral:other from 1 species
UGGGCUCUGCUUCGUGCGACGCACAUCUAUUUCCUGGGGCCAACAUCUACCUCAAAGGGAACUGUCCCUGAUGGAACCGUGGUUUUAUCAUAUGGUGCCCACCUGCUGAGAGCAGGCCACAGAGGAAUAACGACUGCACCCGGCGAUAGCGGUCCCACC